UCCAAUUCCGACUUGGGUGUACGUUGGAGGAGAUUUGGGUGAAGUUAUAAAAAUCCAGAAAGUAUCGGUAGGAGGUACGCAUGGCACCUCCGGGACAGGGGACGUCUCGGGAGAUAGAAAGACGGGCUGAAUGAGUGAACUGCAUAU